GGGCAGAUGACACAUGCUUGAGCGGAGCCUGAGGUCUGCACCUGGGCUGGGCCUGGCGUCACUCACCCAUUGCAGAAUCUUCUUACUAGAGGACUGGAGAAAAAUGAUAGAAUGAAACUGGAGGAAAAGUGUCUCAAGGAGAAAUCAUAAAAAUACUGAAGCCGAGUUAUUGUCCCAAUCGUGUCAUUUACCAGCUGUGUGACCUUGGGUGCAUAAUUGGCCAAGUGCUCCAGGGGUUAUAAAGACUGCCUUCCUGUAGUUGGAAUAGACAGAUUUAGCCUCUUACUGAAAUUGAAGGCUGCAAUGGCGAUAACAAAUCUGAUUCUAACUCUCCCAUGUCACUGCUGCCCAAAGGUGCCUUUGUCUCCCAGGAGAAAGAGGUUGGAGACUGUUCCAUGAAAGAAGGGACCACCAAGUAUAUACACAAUUCCUAGCAUAAUCUUGGCUCAUAGUAGGCUCUCAAUAAAUGUUUGCUGGAAAGCUGAGUGACAGAAGAUUCUCACUGGUAUUCUGUUGCUGUUCUUUAAAAAAUAAAAAGUCUCAGUUUUUCUGCCUUUUG